CCCAGCCAGCCAAUCAGCAAGGAGCCUUGCCGGAAGGAUGACGCUCUAGGAAGGAAGUGGAGGAUGGGGCGGGCUUGGCGCUGGCGAGGCUGUAGGCAGAGGAAAUCCUUGCCAGCGGCCGGGCAAGAAUUCCAGUGCAGUUAACAGUUAAAGGCCUUUUCGUCGCUUCGCAGCCACAAACGAUUGUUUCCUUAGGAAUCUCACCAGAAAUACGUUUACAGGUGAAGGACAUGUACUAAACCCCCUGCGGCGCCUGGUUUUAAUUUUAUUAUAUUGUAAUUCCAUACUACGAACCAUCCUAUAAGUUCACUUAACAGAGAGAGAGAGAAACCGAGUGGUUCUUAGCAACCUUUUACUAUGUAACUUAACCACCAAAGAGGUAUCUGGCUAACGCGGCAGCUUUCAAGGAGUCCGUAUUUACACGUUGUAUUGCUUUUGUUUCCCUGUGUGCCUUCCACGCCUCGAGUAUGCCUAUGUUAAAGUUAUCUUCAAUAAAGCCUCAAGCUCUUCACA